AACCAUGUGGUGAGCACAAAGCGAACUAUUCUUUUGCCUUUUGCUAAUGAAUACCGUGUGCUCUCUAUAUAUAAUGGCAUACACCUAUUUUUGGAGAGUCUCUUCCUUCAUUGAAAGGCU